AUUGAACGCUGGCGGCAGGCCUAACACAUGCAAGUCGAGCGAGAGGCGGACGGGUGAGUAAUGUAUGGGGACUGCCCGAUAGAGGGGGAUAACUACUGGAAACGGUGGCUAAUACCGCAUACUAGCGGCUAACCCAUAUGGGAUUAGAUAGUAUGUGGGGUAAAGGUUAACAUAGGCGAAGAUCUCUAGCUGGUCUGAGAGGAUGAUCAGCAAAACUGGUACUGAGACACGGCCCAUACUCCAAGGGUGGCAGCAGUGGGGAAUAUUGGACAAUGGGCGCAAGCCUGAUGCAGCCAUGCCGCGUGUAUGAAGAAGGCCUUAGGGUUGUAAAGUACUUUCAGCUGGGAGGCGUUACCCGCAGAAGAAGCACCGGCUAACUCCGUGCCAGCAGCCGGGGUAAUUC
rnacentral:rRNA from 1 species